rnacentral:rRNA from 1 species
GACGAACGCUGGCGGCGUGCUUAACACAUGCAAGUCGAACGGAAAGGCCCUGCUUUUGUGGGGUGCUCGAGUGGCGAACGGGUGAGUAACACGUGAGUAACCUGCCCUUGACUUUGGGAUAACUUCAGGAAACUGGGGCUAAUACCGGAUAGGAGCUCCUGCUGCAUGGUGGGGGUUGGAAAGUUUCGGCGGUUGGGGAUGGACUCGCGGCUUAUCAGCUUGUUGGUGGGGUAGUGGCUUACCAAGGCUUUGACGGGUAGCCGGCCUGAGAGGGUGACCGGCCACAUUGGGACUGAGAUACGGCCCAGACUCCUACGGGAGGCAGCAGUGGGGAAUAUUGCACAAUGGGCGGAAGCCUGAUGCAGCAACGCCGCGUGCGGGAUGACGGCCUUCGGGUUGUAAACCGCUUUCGCCUGUGACGAAGCGUGAGUGACGGUAAUGGGUAAAGAAGCACCGGCUAACUACGUGCCAGCAGCCGCGGUGAUACGUAGGGUGCGAGCGUUGUCCGGAUUUAUUGGGCGUAAAGGGCUCGUAGGUGGUUGAUCGCGUCGGAAGUGUAAUCUUGGGGCUUAACCCUGAGCGUGCUUUCGAUACGGGUUGACUUGAGGAAGGUAGGGGAGAAUGGAAUUCCUGGUGGAGCGGUGGAAUGCGCAGAUAUCAGGAGGAACACCAGUGGCGAAGGCGGUUCUCUGGGCCUUUCCUGACGCUGAGGAGCGAAAGCGUGGGGAGCGAACAGGCUUAGAUACCCUGGUAGUCCACGCUGUAAACGGUGGGUACUAGGUGUGGGGUCCAUUCCACGGGUUCCGUGCCGUAGCUAACGCUUUAAGUACCCCGCCUGGGGAGUACGACCGCAGGGCUAAAACUCAAAGGAAUUGACGGGGCCCCGCACAAGCGGCGGAGCAUGCGGAUUAAUUCGAUGCAACGCGUAGAACCUUACCUGGGUUUGACAUGGAUCGGGAGUGCUCAGAGAUGGGUGUGCCUCUUUUGGGGUCGGUUCACAGGUGGUGCAUGGCUGUCGUCAGCUCGUGUCGUGAGAUGUUGGGUUAAGUCCCGCAACGAGCGCAACCCUUGUUCACUGUUGCCAGCACGUUAUGGUGGGGACUCAGUGGAGACCGCCGGGGUCAACUCGGAGGAAGGUGGAGAUGACGUCAAGUCAUCAUGCCCCUUAUGUCCAGGGCUUCACGCAUGCUACAAUGGCUGGUACAGAGAGUGGCGAGCCUGUGAGGGUGAGCGAAUCUCGGAAAGCCGGUCUCAGUUCGGAUUGGGGUCUGCAACUCGACCUCAUGAAGUCGGAGUCGCUAGUAAUCGCAGAUCAGCAACGCUGCGGUGAAUACGUUCCCGGG